rnacentral:tRNA from 1 species
AGAGGACUGAAAAUCCUCGUGUCACCAGUU